UAGAGGAAGUAAAAGUCGUAACAAGGUUUCCGUAGGUGAACCUGCGGAAGGAUCAUUAUCGAAUUAUAAUCCGGCGAGGGGAAAGGGGGGAGCUGUCGCUGGCCUUUUACCGGGCAUGUGCACGCUCUCCUUGGAACCUUUGCCUUAUGGGCGUGGGGCGACCCGCGUCUUCAUAUACCCCUUCGUGUAGAAAGUCUUUGAAUGUUUAUAUUAUCAUCGAGCCGCGACUUCUAGGAGACGUGGUUCUUUGAGACAAAAGUUAUUACAACUUUCAGCAAUGGAUCUCUUGGCUCUCGCAUCGAUGAAGAACGCAGCGAAUCGCGAUAUGUAAUGUGAAUUGCAGAUCUACAGUGAAUCAUCGAAUCUUUGAACGCACCUUGCGCUCCUCGGUGUUCCGAGGAGCAUGCCUGUUUGAGCGUCAGUAAAUUCUCAACCCCUCUCGAUUUGCUUCGAAAGGGUGCUUGGAUAGUGGGGGCUGCCGGAGAUCUGGACUUCUCGUCUAGGACUCGGGCUCUCCUGAAAUGAAUGGGCCUGCGGUCGACUUUCGACUAUGCAUGACAAGGCUUUUGGCGUGAUAAUGAUCGCCGCUCGCUGAAGUGCAUGAAUGAAUGGUCCCGUGCCUCUAAUGUGUCGAUGCCUUCUGGCGUCUUCCUUAUUGACUUUUGACCUCAAAUCAGGUAGGACUACCCGCUGAACUUAAGCAUAUCAAUA
rnacentral:rRNA from 1 species